GGAGACCUGUUUCGACACUGAAACAGGGACUGCGCACGGAGAAACACAGGGUUGGCCCCUGUCGGACCGGGGUUCGAUUCCCCGCGCCUCCACCA
rnacentral:tRNA from 1 species